UUGAACGCUGGCGGAAUGCUUUACACCUGCCAAUCGAGCGGCAGCACGGGGGCAACCCUGGUGGCGAGCGGCGAACGGGUGAGUAACACAUCGGAACAUGCCCAGUCGUGGGGGAUAACACUUCGAAAGAAGUGCUAAUACCGCAUACGUCCUGAUGGAGAAAGCGGGGGAUCGCAAGUCCUCGCGCGCUUGGAGUGGCCGAUGUCCGAUUUGCUAGUUGGUGGGGUAAAGGCCUACCAAGGCAACGAUCUGCAGCUGGUCUGAGAGGAUGAUCAGCCACACUGGAACUGAGACGCGGUCCAAACGCCUAGGGGAGCCGGCAGUGGGGAAUUUUGGACAAGGGGGGCAACCCUGAUCCGGCCAUACCGGGUGAGUGAAGAAGGCCUUCGGGUUGUAAAGCUCUUUUGUUGGGAAAGAAAUGUUUAAGCCUAAUACCGUGGGAGAAUGACGGUACCUAAAAAAUAAGCACCGGCUAACUUCGUG
rnacentral:rRNA from 1 species